rnacentral:siRNA from 1 species
AAGUCUUGUCGACAAGGCGCCAA